ensembl:lncRNA
GCAUGUAAUUAUCCAACAAAAACAGUAUAAACGUUACAUCAUUUAUAAAGCAGUGCCCCGCUAGAGUCUAGCCAAAACCACAGUGUAGAUCCAUAAAUAAAGCAAGCUGUCAGCCUUCAGCUUUCUUUCUUUUUUCUUUUCCUGUUGUUGCUUUUUCAAAACAGGGUUUCUCUGUGUAGCCCUGGCUGUCCUAGAACUCGAUUCAUAGACCAAACUGGUCUCAAACUCAGAGAUCCAACUCUGCUUCCUGUGACACCAGCCCUGCUCAGCUUUCAAAUUUCAAAGGCCUUCUUAGUGUCAAGAGUUCAGCAUGUACAGAACCUCUGUGAAAAUAGCAGGCUGAACAGACAGAAGCCCAUAAUGUCUUACAGGAUAUGGUCUGAGUAGUCCAACCAUGGAUAUGUCAUACUGGAGCAGCUGAGAACCUGGCAAUAGUCCACAAUGCUGGAUGUCUCCACAGUCCCAACCUGACACCAGAGACAUGGAGGACUCCUGAAGAACUUCUGGUCCUUAAGUGCACACUGGAAGCCCAGAGAAGCUAGCUCUAAUAUCAACCAAGAAUGCAGCAGAACAGGAGAUAGGCUUGCCCUCUCAUCAUCCAGGCUGCAACCAACCAAAAGACACUUUUGUGGAUUUGUAGUCUUUGCUUUUUCUGGACAGGGUUUCUCUGUAUAUCCCCAGCUGUCCUGGAACUCUCUAUACAGGCCAGUCUGGCCUUGAACUUAGAGAUCUUCCUACCUCUGCCUCCCUGAGCACUGGAAUUAAAGGCUUAUGCCACCUCACCCUGCUAAUACCGCCCACUUUUAGGAUACAUCUUUCUGCUUCAAAUGAUCAGAUCAAGAAGAGUCUUUUGAAAGAGCAGGAGGUUUGUGUUAUUCCAGAUCUAAUCUACUUGACAGGUAAGACUGGAGUUCCACCACUGGGACCCCACAGCAGAAGGAUGGACUCCCACAAGCUGUCCUCUGACCUCCAUACAAACCUUAUGGUGCAUGUUUGAGG